rnacentral:rRNA from 1 species
CCCUUAGAUGUUCUGGGCUGCACGCGCGCUACACUGAAGCGUUCAACGAGUAUUCACCUUGCCCGGGAGGGUUGGGUAAUCUUUUGAAAACGCUUCGUGAUGGGGAUAGAUUAUUGCAAUUAUUAAUCUUCAACGAGGAAUUCCUAGUAAGCGCGAGUCAUCAACUCGCGUUGAUUACGUCCCUGCCCUUUGUACACACCGCCCGUCGCUACUACCGAUUGAAUGGCUUAGUGAGGCCUCAGGAUCCGCGCUUAAUGUGUGGAGAAUUUGGACAAACUACGUCAUUUAGAGGAAGUAAAAGUCGUAACA